GAGGCACAGGACCCGUUAAAAAAAAUCUUCACUGGGUGGUGGUCGUGAACGGAAAUCGAACUGUGGUAGUCGGGGUCGGAGCAGAGCACGCUAACCACUACACUACUGCUGACCCCGAAACACACGCACACACACACUCGCUCACACACAGCCCUGCUCGUGGCUGUGGUAAAUAACAACACGGCGAUUUUUCCCAGAGAGGAAAUGGAAUUUCUCACCGACCGAGUGACGCAUCUGGCUCGACCGCACGCCCAUUGCUCACAGCGGCUAUCGCGAGGGAGCUGCAGCUUGGAGCAAGACGCGAGCGCAGACAAAACGAGAGCUACGCAUCCGAGCUCCCAACCAUGAACCACCGCAAAUCCGCCUUCUUCAUAACGGUAAUGGCGGUGGCGGUGCACGUGACUAACUCAACAAAUAGCCCCAUUCAGCACAUGGCGGCUGUUGAAGGCGAAGAUGUGCUCCUUAACUGUUCAACAUCGUCCACAAUAUACCGCGUGCGAUGGAGAUAUGGACAGUCUAACACAACGAUAUUAUAUUGUAACAUUCAAUCUAUCACAUCCUGCAACCCACUUCUCUGCUACGUGGUUUUCUCUGGCAACCUGAGCAGUGGAAGUGGCUCCAUCACUCUGAUUUCAGUCCCAACGAACGCGAGUGGAAUGUACCACUGUUUUCUGGAAACAAGCACAGCUGAUCGUCAUGAGAUGGUUUACAAUUUGACAGUAACUUCUCAAGGUACCGCUGCUAUGAUGCACGCAUCGACAUUGCCGGUGCCAUCGAUGGUGCCAUCAACAGUUUCGCCUUCGCGCGGCAAAGCGUCCAUCGUCAUAGCAGCAUGGGCUCUGAUCUUGUUUCUGUCACUGAUGGUGAUUCUCUACCGG